CUGAAGGCCGCGUUCGGGUCAAUUGCGGAACGCAACACCCGAUCUCCCUGCACGCGUCUCCCGGACGGGAGUACGUGGAGGGGGAGCGCGUCACCGUCAG
rfam:Halobaculum gomorrense strain DSM 9297 genome assembly, contig: Ga0131215_101